GCGGUGGACGCACAUAUGAGUAUUUAUUACUGUUAUGAUGAUGAUGAUAUAUAUUGAGCUCAAAUCCUGCACCAUGGUUUAGUGCUUAUAGUAUUCACCGCAUCGCACGCUCGCCUUGGAUCCAAGUAGAUGCUAGUCGUACAGUCCACCGGAGUGGGUACGACAGACCAGUCGCGAGAGUGUUAGUGAGAUUCCGACUGGUGGU
rnacentral:lncRNA from 1 species